rnacentral:rRNA from 1 species
UACGUAGGGGGCCAGCGUUGUCCGGAAUCAUUGGGCGUAAAGCGCGCGUAGGUGGCCUCGUAAGUCCGCUGUGAAAGUCAAAGGCUCAACCUUUGAAAGCCGGUGGAUACUGUGAGGCUAGAGUACGGAAGAGGAGAGUGGAAUUCCCGGUGUAGCGGUGAAAUGCGCAGAUAUCGGGAAGAACACCCGUGGCGAAGGCGGCUCUCUGGGACGGUACUGACGCUGAGACGCGAAAGCGUGGGGAGCGAACAGG